rnacentral:lncRNA from 1 species
GCGAUUCUCUGGUAACUUACUUCUGUUUCUCCAGCGAUGAAAGAAGCUUUUGAAAGCAAAUAAGCUGCGUCCAGCAGGUGAAGUCCAUGUAGCUAUGUACAGAAGACGUCUUCACAUAGAAAUGGACACAGGAAAUAAUGAAUUGCACUAAUUCAGCUGAUCACUUACCCAUUUCAAAUGACACUGGUCAAUUUUUUUUUUUGGACAACAUUUCAAAUUUUGAAAUAAGAAAAAUAAACUUGGUGCAAACUAUCAAUAUGUCAUGGAUAAAGGAGAAGAAUUCUUACUGCUUGCAUAUUCUCUGGUUCAUCCUGGCAACAUCACUUCAACGCUACCACGAAUUCUACCACAUGCCGAUUUUUCAUCAGAUGGAGAGCGGACGGAAAUGUUUCAAGUGUCAAAAGAUAAUAUUUCAUAUUUUGAAAAAGGUUGGUCUUAAGGGAUGGAUGCCUGACUGCAUUUUCUGUGAAGUGCAAAGAGCAAAGGCUUUAUUCUGGCAUUACUUAAGGGUUCAGAUUGCACACCUAGAAGUGAAAUAAAGCACAAAUGAGUAGACUGCUCUAAAUUGUUAGUGGGACUUGAGAAGAUAAAAGGUGAGUUACAAGUAACAGAUUUAAAACCUAUUUAUGAGCAUGGGAUGAAACGAGCAAGCUAUUGCCUUGGCAGCACAGAACUGGAUGUAAAAUACUUUUAAAUGCAUAGGACCUCAGGCUUGAUCUCAUUAUGCAGUGGGGAAGAUAUAUAUGCAUGUGCAAAUGGGCAGAAGUCAAUGGACAGAAGUAAAUGAAAAUCAGGACUCCUAGUUAGGGCUGAAAAGGCAAGGAAGGUGAGAUACA